rnacentral:lncRNA from 1 species
CAGGGGGGCAACUCAAGGUGGACCACCACACUUUCGAUACCUGUGUUUGCCGUCUGAUAAUGAUAAGCUGCCUGAGUUUGUUCCAAGAUAAAAACAUUUUUUUAUAUUAGAAAAGUUCGCCUGAGCUUAAGGUUAGGUUAGUUUCACUAGAAUCUGGACUUGCUUGUUUGGGAUCAAAGUUUGUCUACUAAGGUCUUGUUUACAUGAAAAAGAAAUUAGAUAUUCACACGGUAGCACUUUUAUUUAUAUUUGAUAAACAUUGUCCAAUCAUAGACUAACUAGACUUAAAAUAUUCGUCUCGCGAUUUACAAGUAAAUAUACAAUUAGUUAUUUUUUUUAUUUAUUUUUAAUAUUACAUGCAUGUGCCGUAAGAUUCAAUAUGCUUAUAAACUUUCGGAAAAUUUCACAAACAAAAGUUUGGAGCCAAAUACAAGAGAUUGCUAAGUUUUGGUAAUAAAACAAAUAAAUACCUACAAUCAUAUCUGCUAGUUUUUAGCUUAGCAUAUUUCGGAGCCAACCAAGCAGUAUCUCAUAAGUUUCUAAGACAUGCUCCUCCGGUCCUGUUAUGAGUGUCUUUUUUAUUUUCUAAGAAAUUAGACAUUUUUUAUUUUGAUCAACAUAUAUCUAUUGAUUAAUUUUUUGGUGCAUCAUUAGUAUCAUUAGAUAAAUUGUUAGAUAUAUUUUCAUAAUAAACAUACAAUCUAUGUCCUGAAAAGAAUACAACUAUGAUAUGCCUGCCAGUUAAAGUGUGUCACGUUUGACCAAGUUUUUAGUAAAUAGUAUUCACAUUUAUUGCUUCAAAUCAAUUUGUUAAUUAUUUCUUUAAUUAAUCCAAUAGUUUUUAUUUUGAUAUUAUAAAUAUUUAUAAUUUUUUAUCUAUAAUUAGUCAAACUUGGUAUACUCAAAUAUGACACUGUUCUAGUAUUUAUAUAGGUUCAAUAAAACUAAACAAAUUGACUUGUUCUAUAUCUAGAAUUGCAUUCUUUGUGAUGAUAAAGUAGACUAUUAUUCCACACAAAGGUAUUUUCACAUGAAAAAAGUAAAAAACAGUACU